rnacentral:rRNA from 1 species
CAGUCGCCACGGGAAUACGAAGGGGGCUAGCGUUGUUCGGAAUUACUGGGCGUAAAGCGCACGUAGGCGGAUAUUUAAGUCAGGGGUGGAAUCCCAGAGCUCAACUCCGGAACUGCCUUUGAUACUGGGUAUCUUGAGUAUGGAAGAGGUGAGUGGAAUUCCGAGUGUAGAGGUGAAAUUCGUAGAUAUUCGGAGGAACACCAGUGGCGAAGGCGGCUCACUGGUCCAUUACUGACGCUGAGGUGCGAAAGCGUGGGGAGCAAACAGGAUUAGAUACCCGUGUAGUCCCUGUCUCUUAUAU